CCUACGGGAGGCAGCAGUGAGGAAUAUUGGUCAAUGGGCGCGAGCCUGAACCAGCCAAGUAGCGUGAAGGAUGACUGCCCUACGGGUUGUAAACUUCUUUUAUAAAGGAAUAAAGUGAGGCACGUAUGCCUUUUUGUAUGUACUUUAUGAAUAAGGAUCGGCUAACUCAGUGCCAGCAGCCGCGAUAAUACGGAGGAUCCGAGCGUUGUCCGGAUUUAUUGUGUUUAAAGGAAUCGUAGAUGGGUUGGUAAGUCAGUUGUGAAAGUUUGCGUCUCAACCGUAAAAUUGCAAUUGAUACUGGCAGUCUUGAGUAAAGUUGAGGUAGGCGGAAUUCGUGGUGUAGCGGUGAAAGGCUUAGAUAGCACGAAGAACUCCGAUUGCGAAGGCAGCUUACUAAACUGCCACUGACAUUGAUGCUCGAAAGUGUGGGUAUCAAACAGGAUUAGAGACCCCUGUAGUC
rnacentral:rRNA from 1 species